GGAGUUUGGGCCGUGUCUCAGUCCCAAUGUGGCCGAUCACCCUCUCAGGUCGGCUACCGAUCGUCGACUUGGUGGGCCGUUACCUCACCAACUAUCUAAUCGGACGCGAGCCCACCCUUCACCGGAUUGCUCCUUUGACCCCUGGACCAUGUGGCCCUGUGGUCUCAUGCAGUAUUAAUCCGACUUUCGCCGGGCUGUCCUCUACUAAGGGGAAGGUUGGAUACGCGUUACUCACCCGUGCGCCGGUCGCCGACAAAGAAAGCAAGCUUUCUUCUCGCUGCCCCUCGACUUGCAUGUGUUAAGCCUGUAGCUAGCGUUCAUC
rnacentral:rRNA from 1 species